rnacentral:rRNA from 1 species
AAUAGAUACCCGAGUAGUCCACGCGUAAACGAUGAGUGCUAAGUGUUAGGGGGUUUCCGCCCCUUAGUGCUGCAGCUAACGCAUUAAGCACUCCGCCUGGGGAGUACGGUCGCAAGACUGAAACUCAAAGGAAUUGACGGGGGCCCGCACAAGCGGUGGAGCAUGUGGUUUAAUUCGAAGCAACGCGAAGAACCUUACCAGGUCUUGACAUCCCAUUGACCGCUAUAGAGACAUAGCUUUCCCUUCGGGGACAGUGGUGACAGGUGGUGCAUGGUUGUCGUCAGCUCGUGUCGUGAGAUGUUGGGUUAAGUCCCGCAACGAGCGCAACCCUUGUUCUUAGUUGCCAUCAUUUAGUUGGGCACUCUAAGGAGACUGCCGGUGACGAACCGGAGGAAGGUGGGGAUGACGUCAAAUCAUCAUGCCCCUUAUGACCUGGGCUACACACGUGCUACAAUGGACGGUACAAACGGUUGCCAACCCGCGAGGGGAGCUAAUCCGAUAAAACCGUUCUCAGUUCGGAUUGUAGGCUGCAACUCGCCUAC